AAUGAACGUUGGCGGCAUGGAUUAGGCAUGCAAGUCGCACGAGAACCCAAUUAGCUUGCUAUGAGGGGGACAGUGGCGAAAGGGAGAGUAACGCGUGGUUAUGUACCUUCGAGACCGGGAUAGUGUCGGGAAACUGGCAGUAAUACCGGAUAACAUCUUCGGAUCAAAUGGUGUGAUUCCGCUCGAAGAUCGGACCGCGUACUAUUAGCUUGUUGGUGAGGUAAUGGCUCACCAAGGCUGCGAUGGUUACCGGGUGUGAGAGCAUGGCCCGGCUCACUGGGACUGAGACACUGCCCAGACAUCUACGGAUGGCUGCAGUCGAGAAUCUUCGGCAAUGGACGAAAGUCUGACCGAGCGAUGCCGCGUGCGGGAUGAAGGCCCUCGGGUUGUAAACCGCUGUCAGUUGUUAGGAAAUCUAUAGGGGUUCUCUCCUAUGGUUGACCGAUCUUCAGAGGAAGGACGGGCUAAGUUCGUG
rnacentral:rRNA from 1 species